AGGACACGGAAGGGAAGUGGCGGAUGACACUCCUCCACAGGGUUCGAUGAGAAAGGACGGCGCCCUUAGUCGACCUCGGGUUUGGGUAAGGACCCAGUUAGCGAUUUGGACCCUCAGAUUCAGGUCGUUAUAUGUAAUUUAAUAUCCACAAACUUUAUAUUUGUCCAUUUUCAUUUUCAUCAAGUGAGAAGUUGUGAAAAAUUCUUAUUGUAUAUGAAAGAGCAUUCAACUGAACUGUAUGGAGAGAAAACACAUACACGCACAAAGAAGAAGAAGAAGAAUAAUAAGAAGGUUUGGUAGGGGUAUUUUUGGAAGAGUAAAAGGGUAAAAUGAGUAUUAUAUUAAUUGAGGGUGUUUUUGCACAAAUUGAAAAGAAUAAGGGUAUUGUUUUGUAAUACCCCUAGUUUUUUAAAAAGGAUAGUCUCGGUAUUUUGAUUAUUAUUUUAUUGGAUUUCUAUUUGUUUAAUUGUUAAUUAUUUGUUUAAUUGGUUA